AUUGAACGCUGGCGGCAUGCCUUACACAUGCAAGUCGAACGGUAACAGGUCUUCGGAUGCUGACGAGUGGCGAACGGGUGAGUAAUACAUCGGAACGUGCCUAGUAGUGGGGGAUAACUACUCGAAAGAGUGGCUAAUACCGCAUGAGAUCUACAGAUGAAAGCAGGGGAUCGCAAGACCUUGUGCUACCAUAGCGGCCGAUGGCAGAUUAGGUAGUUGGUGGGAUAAAAGCUUACCAAGCCGACGAUCUGUAGCUGGUCUGAGAGGACGAUCAGCCACACUGGGACUGAGACACGGCCCAGGCUCCUACGGGAGGCAGCAGUGGGGAAUUUUGGACAAUGGGCGAAAGCCUGAUCCAGCAAUGCCGCGUGCAGGAUGAAGGCCUUCGGGUUGUAAACUGCUUUUGUACGGAACGAAAAGCCCCGGGUUAAUACCCUGGGGUCAUGACGGUACCGUAAGAAUAAGCACCGGCUAACUACGUGCCAGCCGCCGCAGUAA
rnacentral:rRNA from 1 species